CCUACGGGUGGCAGCAGUGAGGAAUAUUGGUCAAUGGACGAGAGUCUGAACCAGCCACGUAGCGUGAAGGAUGAAUGCCCUAUGGAUUGUAAACUUCUUUUAUAAGGGAAUAAAACGCGGCACGUGUGCCUUUUUGCAUGUAUUUUAUGCAUAAGGAUCGGCUAACUCCGUGCAAGCAGCCGCGGUAAUACGGAUGAACCGAGUGUUAUCCGGAUUUAUUGGGUAUAAAGGGAGCGUAGAUGGGUUGUUAAGUCCGGUGUGAAAGUUUGCGGCUCAACCGUAAAAUUGCAGUUGAUACUGGUAGUCUUGAGUACAGUUGAGGUAGGCGGAAUUCGUGGUGUAGCGGUGAAAUGCUUAGAUAUCACGAAGAACCCCGAUGGCGAAGGCAGCUUACUAAACUGUGACUGACAUUGAUGCUCGAAAGUGUGGGUAUCAAACAGGAUUAGAUACCCCAGUAGUC
rnacentral:rRNA from 1 species